rfam:Marinomonas sp. MWYL1, complete genome.
AUAAAGAGUAGAAGCGGUUAAGCCUUGCGGCCUGGACAUUGCUCUUUCC